AUUCGAAAUAAAACGACAAAAAUGUGGUCGUCGUGUUAACUCUCGUGUAGGGUCUCUUUAUAGAAUCGCUUAAUACACAUUCUUUGUUGUUUAUCAGAUUUGAAACCUGAGCCAUCCACUAUAACCACCAGAUUUGCAAGUUUUAAUUGCUUGUGAUGGACCUGUCUUCAGCAACAAUCUCAGUGUCAUCGCUUGAGUAAACAGCAUCCUGUUUGAUUGGAGAAACUAUACAUGUCGGUCGUCGAUUAUAUCUUCUUUCCAUUUCUUUAAAUGUCCUCGUGUAUGCCCAUGUGUGUGUGGGUAUAUUCACGAGGACCCCCUUUUCCCUAUUAUCCCGAAUGUAAUGGAUCGAUACAAUUCCUCAGCGGAUGGAGCACUUGCGGAUGGAUACCUGGCCAAAUUUUCCAGGCAUAAAGGUAGGACAAAUGUCUUAUCUAUUCUUCCUUCUUGACUCAUUGGUGGCGUUGAUUGUAAAUCGUGACGUAGUACGGAGUACGAUAAUUCCUGAGCUAGGCGGUUGAGUGGAACUCUUACCGUUUUUGUUCACUCAGUAAGGAUUCAUUAAAUCUCCCAUUUUUAGAACAACUGCAGAUUAGGCCCUGUUUUUUUACCUCACAAAUUUGUCUGUGGGUAAAAAAAACAAUUUUAACUUUCACACUAAUUUAACACUUUAAGCGAAGUGGGAUUUUAACAUUUAUGGCGUC